rnacentral:rRNA from 1 species
GACGAACGCUGGCGGCGUGCUUAACACAUGCAAGUCGAACGGAAAGGCCCUGCUUUUGUGGGGUGCUCGAGUGGCGAACGGGUGAGUAACACGUGAGUAACCUGCCCUUGACUUUGGGAUAACUUCAGGAAACUGGGGCUAAUACCGGAUAGGAGCUCCUGCUGCAUGGUGGGGGUUGGAAAGUUUCGGCGGUUGGGGAUGGACUCGCGGCUUAUCAGCUUGUUGGGGGGGUAGUGGCUUACCAAGGCUUUGACGGGUAGCCGGCCUGAGAGGUGAGACAGCCACAAUGGGACUGAGGUAGGGCCCAGACGGGAACGGGAGGCAGAGGUGGGGAGUAUUGCACAGUGGGCGGAAGUCUGAUGUAGCAAUGCUGCGAGCGGGAAGCCGUGCUUCGGGGUGUGAACCACUGUCGCCUGUGCCGAGGCGUGAGUGACGGUAACGGGUAAAGAAGCACCGGCUAACUACGUG